rnacentral:lncRNA from 1 species
UAGAGUUGAUGUUUUAGGGUUUAGAUUUAAAGGUUUAGGGUUUUAGGGUUUAAGGUUUACAUUUAGGGUUUAGAGUUGAUGUUUUAGGGUUUUGAUUUGAAGGUUUAGGGUUUUAGGGUUUAAGGUUUACAUUUAGGGUUUAGAGUUGAUGUUUUAGGGUUUAGAUUUGAAGGUUUAGGGUUUAUGUUUAGGGUUUAGAGUUGAUAUUUUAGGGUUUAAAUUUGAAGGUUUAGAGUUUAGUGUUUAUAGUUGAUAUUUUGGGGUUUAGGGUUUAGAGUUGAUGUAUCAUGGUUUAGGGAUAAGAGUUGUUGAUUUAGGGUUUAAAGUUGAUGUUUUAAGUUUAGAUGUAGGGUUUAGGGUUUAUGUUUAGGGUUUAGGGUUGAUGUUUUAGGGUUUAGAUUUGAAGGUUUAGAGUUUAGAGUUAAUAUUUUGGAGUUUAGGGUUUAGAGUUCAUAUUUCAUGGUUUGGGGUUUAAAGUUGAUGUUUCAUGGUUUAGAGUUGAUGUUUCAUGGUUUAGGGUUUAGGUUGAUGAUUUAGGAUUUAAAGUUUAUGUUUUAACUUUGAAUUUAGGGUUUAGGGUUCACUUUUAGGGUUUAGAGUUGAUGUUUUAGAGUUUAGAUUUGAAGAUUUAUGGUUUAGGGUUGAUGUUUCGGGGUUUAGGGUUUAGAGUUUAUUUUUCAUGGUUUAGGUUUAGAAUUGAUGAUUUAGGGUUUAGAAUUGAUGAUUUAUUUAUAUAUUAAAAUAUAAUU